rnacentral:rRNA from 1 species
AUACGUAGGUGGCAAGCGUUGUCCGGAAUUAUUGGGCGUAAAGCGCGCGCAGGUGGUUCCUUAAGUCUGAUGUGAAAGCCCCCGGCUCCACCGGGGAGGGUCAUUGGAAACUGGGGAACUUGAGUGCAGAAGAGGAUAGUGGAAUUCCAAGUGUAGCGGUGAAAUGCGUAGAGAUUUGGAGGAACACCAGUGGCGAAGGCGACUGUCUGGUCUGUAACUGACACUGAGGCGCGAAAGCGUGGGGAGCAAACAGGAUUAGAUACCCUGGUAGUCCACGCCGUAAACGAUGAGUGCUAAGUGUUGGGGGGUUUCCGCCCCUCAGUGCUGCAGCUAACGCAUUAAGCACUCCGCCUGGGGAGUACGGUCGCAAGACUGAAACUCAAAUGAAUUGACGGGG